AACGAACGCUGGCGGCAUGCCUAACACAUGCAAGUCGAACGAGACCUUCGGGUCUAGUGGCGCACGGGUGCGUACCGCGUGGGAACCUGCCCUUAGGUUCGGAAUAACUCCCCGAAAGGGGUGCUAAUACCGGAUAAUGUCUUCGGACCAAAGAUUUAUCGCCUUUGGAUGGGCCCGCGUUGGAUUAGCUAGUUGGUAGGGUAAAAGCCUACCAAGGCGACGAUCCAUAGCUGGUCUGAGAGGAUGAUCAGCCACACUGGGACUGAGACACGGCCCAGACUCCUACGGGAGGCAGCAGUGGGGAAUAUUGGACAAUGGGCGAAAGCCUGAUCCAGCACUGCCGCGUGAGUGAUGAAGGCCUUAGGGUUGUAAAGCUCUUUUACCCGGGAUGAUAAUGACAGUACCGGGAGAAUAAGCUCCGGCUAACUCCGUG
rnacentral:rRNA from 1 species